CAGGCAUAGGCAAACUCGGCCCUCCAGAUGUUUUGGGACUAGCUAGCAGGACCAAUGGUCAGGGAUGAUGGGAGUUGUAGUCCCAAAACAUCUGGAGGGCUGAGUUUGCCUUUGCCUG